rnacentral:lncRNA from 1 species
AAAUUAAGUGUGUAUAGAAAUAUAAAGUUUAAUUUUUGUCUUGAAAAUUAUUUUAGCUACAUUAAUAAUAUUAACAUUUUUACAAAACUACGAAGUGGUACAUUGAAACUAAAUGUUGAAGUUGGUCGCUUCUCUGAUAUACCAAGAGAAAUGCGUCUUUGUGUAUGUUGUAACAUGCAAUGUGUUGAGAAUGAAUUCCAUUUUGUAUUGGUAUGUCCAGCAUAUAGGGCAAUUAGAAUAUUGUUUUUGCCACGCUAUUAUUGUUCAUGGCCUACUAUUUUUAAACUAUCUUGUUUGUUG